GGGAUGACACAGUAGGAUAAGCUAAGCACACUGUUGGUUAUGUGUGCCCAAGCAUUGAGGCAGUCAAAGUAGGCAAAUCCGCUUUGAUAAUGCUGGGAUGUGAUGGGGAGCGAAAUUUAGUAGCGAAGUAGCUGAUUUCACACUGUCAAGAAAAGUCUCUAUCGAGGUUAAAGGUACCCGUACCGCAAACCGACACAGGUGGGUGAGGAGAGUAUCCUAAGGCCAGCGAGAGAACUGUUGUUAAGGAACUCGGCAAAAUGACCCCGUAACUUAGGGAUAAGGGGUGCCACCAUCAGGUGGCCGCAGAGAAUAGGCCCAAGCGACUGUUUACCAAAAACAUAGGUUUCUGCUAAGUCGCAAGACGAUGUAUAGGAGCUGACGCCUGCCCGGUGCUGGAAGGUUAAGGGGAUCUGUUAGAGCAAUCGAAGCAGUGAACUUAAGCCCCAGUAAACGGCGGCCGUAACUAUAACGGUCCUAAGGUAGCGAAAUUCCUUGUCGGGUAAGUUCCGACCCGCACGAAAGGCGUAACGAUUUGGGCACUGUCUCAACAACAGACUCGGUGAAAUUGUAAUUCCGGUGAAGAUGCCGGAUACCUGCGACAGGACGGAAAGACCCCAUGGAGCUU
rnacentral:rRNA from 1 species